rnacentral:misc_RNA from 1 species
AACGCAAAUUGCGCCCUCUCGAGGGCAUGUCUGUCUGAGCGUCACCGCACCCCCCUCACCCCAGCGCUCCCUCUCUGAGAAGCGCCGGUGGCUGGAUCUGGCCCCCUGGCGUGAAACCCCGCGAGAGCGGGGCGGAACGCGAGCCGGCUGAAAGGCAUGCGCGGCCGCACCCGCCGAGAGAGCGGGCAACGUGGUAAUCCGCUGGUCGGAGGAUCGUUGCCCGAGAGCCUCUCGGCACCCAGAGGUGCGCGCCGGAAGCAGGAACGCUUCCCAAACCCAACCUUGCCCUCAGAUCAGGCAAGCCCACCCGCCGAAUUUAA